UUCAUCAGGAUCACAGCUAACUCUGAAGAUUGACAAUAAGUUGCUCCUUUAGCUCAAAGAGCUUUCUUGCAAUUUCUCUUGCAAAGGACAUCUUUGUUUCCCCCUUCAACUUUUGUUGUAUUGCUGAAGGAUGGUCCAUGCCUUUCCCACAUCCUGUGGCACAGCAAGAGUAGCAGAGAAGAGAAGGCUUGAUUGUCAACAUCGCUCAAGGCAAAAAAUAACCAACAGCACAUUGUGUGGAAUUCAAGAAAGCAC
rnacentral:lncRNA from 1 species